rnacentral:rRNA from 1 species
UACGGAGGGUGCAAGCGUUAUCCGGAUUCACUGGGUUUAAAGGGUGCGUAGGUGGGCAGGUAAGUCAGUGGUGAAAUCUCCGGGCUUAACUCGGAAACUGCCAUUGAUACUAUCUGUCUUGGAUACCGUGGAGGUCAGCGGAAUAUGUCCUGUAGCGGUGAAAUGCUUAGAUAUGACAUAGAACACCAAUUGCGAAGGCAGCUGGCUACACGAAUAUUGACACUGAUGCACGAAAGCGUGGGGAUCAAACAGG